CAUCCUUUCAUCUUUUUUUUCUUCUUCCACAGAAAAUGGCAGCAAGGAGGGGGCUUGGAAAGAUCAAAAUAUCAGCCACUUAUAUUCUUUGCAAAUCAAGAAAAUCGAGAUUUGGGCUUAAAUCGAGAAAGUGUGUGAUUAAAGACAAAAAGAGAAUAAUUAGCCGAAAUUGCAUUUGAGUGUUUUCAGGUUAGCUCGGAGUUGGAGAUCGUCGGAGGCAGCAUCACUCUAUCAAGUCGCUACCUUUGGAAUAAUGAAGUAUAUAUUAGAAAUUUCAAGUGAGUGGCAUGUAUAGAGAUCUACUUGAUUGACAUGUAUUCUUUUGCUUUGGCCAAAUGUAUUGGCUUAAAUUGAAUUAUAUGUAUAUGGCUAUGAGAUGUGGCUCAUAUUGAUUAUGGCUUGUAAACCUAGCUAUUCAUGUCAUGUCUAAUGUUUAUAAUGUGAUUAUGUUCGUUUGCCAUGCAUAGUUAGUAAUA